rnacentral:rRNA from 1 species
CAGCAGCCGCGGUAAUACGGAGGGUGCAAGCGUUAAUCGGAAUUACUGGGCGUAAAGCGCACGCAGGCGGUCUGACAAGUCAGAUGUGAAAUCCCCGGGCUUAACCUGGGAACUGCAUUUGAAACUGUCAGGCUGGAGUCUUGUAGAGGGGGGUGGAAUUCCAGGUGUAGCGGUGAAAUGCGUAGAGAUCUGGAGGAAUACCGGUGGCGAAGGCGGCCCCCUGGGCAAAGACUGACGCUCAGGUGCGAAAGCGUGGGGAGCAAACAGGAUUAGAGACCCCGGUAGUCCCUGUCUCUUAUAA